rnacentral:rRNA from 1 species
CAGACGGGUGAGUAACACAUGGUCAAACCUUCCCUUUAUGGGGAUAACUAGCCGAAAGGUUAGCUAAUACCGCAUACGAUCUGCACCCGGCAUCGGGAGUAGAUGAAAGGAGCAAUCCGCUUAAGGACGGGACCGCGUCCCAUUAGUUAGUUGGUGGGGUAAUGGCCUACCAAGACUCCGAUGGGUAGCUGGUUUGAGAGAGCGACCAGCCACACUGGGACUGAGAAACGGCCCAG